GAUGAACGCUGGCGGCGUGCCUAAUACAUGCAAGUCGAGCGAACAGACGAGGAGCUUGCUCCUCUGACGUUAGCGGCGGACGGGUGAGUAACACGUGGAUAACCUACCUAUAAGACUGGGAUAACUUCGGGAAACCGGAGCUAAUACCGGAUCAUAUAUUGAACCGCAUGGUUCAAUAGUGAAAGACGGUUUUGCUGUCACUUAUAGAUGGAUCCGCGCCGCAUUAGCUAGUUGGUAAGGUAACGGCUUACCAAGGCAACGAUGCGUAGCCGACCUGAGAGGGUGAUCAGCCACACUGGAACUGAGACACGGUCCAGACUCCUACGGGAGGCAGCAGUGGGGAAUCUUCCACAAUGGGCGAAAGCCUGACGGAGCAACGCCGCGUGAGUGAUGAAGGUCUUCGGAUCGUAAAGCUCUGUUAUUUGGGAAGAACAAAUGUGUAAGUAACUAUGCACGUCUUGACGGUACCUAAUCAGAAAGCCACGGCUAACUACGUG
rnacentral:rRNA from 1 species